GGUUGACCUCGGAUCAGGUAGGAAUACGCGCUGAACUUAAGCAUAUCAAUAAGCGCAG
rnacentral:rRNA from 1 species